GUGGGGAAUCUUAGACAAUGGGGGAAACCCUGAUCUAGCCAUGCCGCGUGAGCGAUGAAGGCCUUAGGGUUGUAAAGCUCUUUCAGCUGGGAAGAUAAUGACUGUACCAGCAGAAGAAGCCCCGGCUAACUCCGUGCCAGCAGCCGCGGUAAUACGGAGGGGGCUAGCGUUGUUCGGAAUUACUGGGCGUAAAGCGCACGUAGGCGGACCGGAAAGUCAGAGGUGAAAUCCCAGGGCUCAACCUUGGAACUGCCAUUGAAACUCCUGGUCUUGAGGUCGAGAGAGGUGAGUGGAAUUCCGUGUGGAGAGGUGAAAUUCGUAGAUAUUCGGAGGAACACCAGUGGCGAAGGCGGCUCACUGGCUCGAUACUGACGCUGAGGUGCGAAAGCGUGGGGAGCAAACAGGAUUAGAUACCCGGGUAGUCC
rnacentral:rRNA from 1 species